GGGCUCGUAGCUCAGCGGCAGAGCGGGCGGCUCAUAACCGUCUGGUCGCAGGUUCGAAUCCUGCCGAGCCCAC
rnacentral:tRNA from 1 species